rnacentral:tRNA from 1 species
GGAAGAGUAGUUUAACAAAAAUAUUAAGAUUGCAAAUCUUUUGAUGGGGCAGCCCUUCUUCCU